rnacentral:tRNA from 1 species
GAGGAUAUAGCUCAGCGGCAUAAGCACCUGCCUUGCAAGCAGGCAUCGUGAGUUCUAUCCCCG